ACACGUAGUAGCUUGGCUUCAGGUUACACAGCACAACACAUUGUUUCCUGUGGAAAAAAGGGGCUAUUGUAGAGCCAUCCCAUUACGUGUGUUGUUGUUUUUCACCUUUGUACUUGCUGUGCCUUCAACCAUGAAAUGGUGCCGUUGGACUUACUUGGUUUCGGGAAAUGUUUGGCAAAGUGAAUGAAUGCUGAAUCACUUAUUAAUUUGAUUGAAAUUGUACUGAUCUCUUUUGUGGCCAACUGUUAAGGAGGUGUGGGCGCAUUUAAUGUCCUUAGCCUAUUGUAUGAUUGUAUGAUUGUAUGAAUAGGUUAAUGUCAAAUACUGGGAUGACCAAAUGCUAACCUAUUAACGAGGUUUACUAAGUCCUUGCCAAAGUCCAGCAGAUAACCACAUAAAAAUUGACAUUAAGGUUUCAAAAGGUUUGUGCCUGCUUGUGUGUGUGUGUGUGUGUGUGUGUGUGUGUGUGUGUGUGUGUGUGUGUGUGUGUGUGUGUGUGUGUGUGUGUGUGUGUGUGUGUGUUUGUGUAAGUGUGUGUGCUAAGGUUUACAGCGGUUGAUAAGACAAGAUAAGUGUAAUAAAGGUGACAUCAUUGAAAAACCUUGACGUACCGAACAGGCAAGGGAACUAGUGUUUCUUUAAUGUGAUUCCUGACAUCACCUGUCACUAAUGCUUGCAAAUGGGAUGAUUAACUUUAGUUAAAUACUCAAAGCACUUCUGAUAAUGGUGGUUGCAGCUGGUUGACCGACGAGUUCCUCAGGAUGAGGUCACGAUAUCGAUACUGGGAACUAGGCCGGAGGAAAGACGAUAAGAUUAACCAAUACCUACUGGGCGACACAAUGGUAGAACGUCAUCACAGAGAACAACAGGGUCUGACUGUAGAUGAUGUUCUGUGAUAGUCGAUGAGGUAGGAAUCACAGUUAUUCAUUGACGACAAGUGUUAGGUUGCUAACAGUCAGACUAGUGACCCGGGUGUGAUUAGAGAGUGAUAGUGACAGGAACAAGCCCUUCAAUCACUCAGUGCAGAGAGGUCUGCAACUGUUUUAUACUUUUAUACUUUACUGUCUGCUGAGUAUCUGUGUCAUACGUUAUGCUCCUCAUUUAUUUUCUCGAUCUUGAACCGACUUAGAAUAGAUUUGGAGUAAGUGCCUGAAGGCCUGGUUUUGUAACGUCAUUUCAGAGUGGAUAACUCCUCAUUCACUCGUUGCGCAACAGGAUAGGAUGAGAUUUAGGAUUUUUUCGGUGCUUUAAACUGAAGUAAGUACUGUGGUACUAAGUGUAAGUAAGUAGUAAGUGAAUACUGAUCGGGAAGUGUGUGUAUGUGUGCGUGCCUGCGACGUGUAUGCCCAUGUGCAUGUCUAGGUGGAGACUACAGGCCUGUGAGUUAUGGGUUUCCUUCCCUGCGUUAUGCAGCAGAACAGAAUGGUCUCUUCAGCUCCUGCAGAGCAGCUGGGCUCUGAGAAAACAAAUACCAAAGGUUAUCAGUAGCUAAUACGAGGGCCGGGCAUGUGUGUGGCUGUGUGCUCUCAGUAAUAAUGGUUAUCUGUUAGCACCACACCCUCGUGUAUUGAAUUACCAUAAGACUGUUCAUGUGAUAUGUCAGCAUUGUCACCUGUCACCUGUGUGUGUGUGUGUGUGUGUGUGUGUGUGUGUGUGUGUGUGUGUGUGUGUGUGUGUGUGUGUGUGUGUGUGUGUGUGUGUGUGUGUGUGUGUGUGUGUGUACGUUCAUGCGGACAGGCCUACUAUGUUUUAUUAAAAUAUCCCAUCUUUUUUCCCAUCACAUCUUUUCUUUAAAUUCAGCAACAAAUAGGCUCAUAGAACAUAUAAAGAUAGAUUGUUAUCUCAUUGUUUAAUUGGUUAAAAAUAUGUCUUAUUAGUUAGCAUUCAGUAUUUAAAGAAAGAGCGGUCUUUCAGAGAGCACCUCACUUUGGCAGAAUGACCCACGGCAAACAGAAUAGAGAAUAGAGACGAGAGACGAGGAGGAAUGUGUUCUAAUCCUGCUGUGUUUGAGCAGGCCUUGGCAGACCGACUCAACAGGCUGGUCGCCCGUGUGUCGGCCUUUUGUGGGACCGGGCGCGACGGAAACAUGUUCACAUAAUUGAUCGGGGAAACGGCAAGCUCUUUGUCCAACAGGUGAAUAGCAUGACCGUGGAAACGGGCGAACUAGGUGGAAAAAGUCUGGUCUUCUGUGAGUCCGAUUUCACGGUGCUUUUACGCUAAACGUGGAGCCAGUGAGGGAACAGCCUUGGCCUGUGUACGCUGCAGCUGUAUUCGCCCAGAGAGGCAGACAUCAAAGCCUGAACAACAAACAGCGUCUCGGCCGUAGCCGAAUAAAGGAGCGGAAAAAACGACCGGACGUCGCAGUGUUUCCACCGAACCCGGACUCACUCAGCCUUUGUGCGCACUUGUGCACAUGCGCGCGUGUGUGUGUGUGUGUGUGUGUGUGUGUGUGUGUGUGCCAGGUUGUGUUCUCCUAGCAGCUAAUGACAGACAGGGGGGGCUGGAGGUAGUGGGGGGAAUGGGAGGAGGGACUUUGUGAUCGCUGGCAAGUGAUGCACCAAAACUGGCUGCGGUGGCUUUUCUGUGUGUGUGUGUGUUUGUUUGUGUGUGUGUCUAUGUGCUAUGUGUCUGCCUCCACAAUAUGGUUCUCUCAAGAUCUCCUCUACCCGUACCCCCCCCACACACACUUCUUUGACGGUAGCCAUUGUUAUUCUGCUCCCAGAGAUGACGCAAUUGAACACACACGCACGCACGCACACGCACACGCACACACACAGAUCACCGGAUUCAUGCUGUCAUGUGAUUAUUAUCAUCUCUGCUUUCCUUGGUAACGGACGAAAAAUUAAAAACCACAAAAAUCACACUUUUACCUCGUUCCUCUAUUGUCGCUAGGAACAUGCCCCUAGCCGCGUGGCCACCGCCUUGAAAGAUCCAUGAAGGUUGCCUUUAAUGGCACAUGAGACAAACAACCCUGCAUCCUUUUAACACAUGCUAGGAUGAUACCAGCGCGACAAUAAAAAUAAAUAAACAACGAUAACUCAAUGUCAGCUCGUUGACGCUGGGUCAAACUCCAUUUCAGAAAUAGUGCGUUGUCACAAUGGUAAUAAGAGAGAGAGACACUCCACUUUAUAGAUGAACCUAUUGGAUUUGUUCUUUAUUCUGCCCUUUAUUCUGGUCUGGGAGUACUCUAAAGCUAUUGGUGGACUAAUCAAACCAGUCCUCCACACAUUUGCCCACUGAUACAAUUCUGGACAAAUAAAAUAAAUAAAUAAAAUAUCAUUCAGAAGUGACAAAAAGGGCGAAAAUGCAAAAUCCUGUUGGCAAGAAAGGCACCACUUGCGCUAACGAGCUAAAGUCCUCUUCAGCCCAGAGAGUUGAUUUGAUUUAUAAGACUCACGAAUUUGAGUUAAAAGCAGGAUGAUUGGCUUUAAAUUGCAGCAAAAGUUGUAAAUGUACUCAAAUAAAAUUAGGUACUUAAGAUAUGAAAUACUUAAGUUAUGAAAUGAUUGUAAAUGUUGUGCCUGUUGAACUCCCAGGUACUACUUUGUUAACUACUUGUGUAUAGGGCUCGUAAGUCCCGCCCCUUCCGGUAGACCCCAUGGGACCAAUGCGAUCGUGAACUACAGCUCUGGCUGCUCUCGACGCGAGUGAUAUAUGUCACCACCACUCUGGUACAGACAUGGCGAUCUCUCUGCUCCACUAUACCGUUUUUUUCCAAGGGGAGGAUAACAGCAUCGGAGGUGAAAACUAUUAUAAGUUGGGGCAUGUGGAGCGUUACGUCACAUACGAGAUGUAGUCUUUCUCAUUGUGUUUUGUCUACAGCCUUUAACUGAACAAUUGCACAAUAAACUGUCAAACUCUUGACAAGAAAAAAUAUCAUUUAAAUCCACAAACAAUAAUGUGUAAUCCGGGGUCUAUAAAGACUGGGACCAGAUAAUAAUUAUUUCUCUGCAUUGAAACCCAUUCAUACUUUACGAUCAUAGGGACCACCGGAAGGGGCGGGACUAACGAGCUCUAUUUGGCCAAUGGAAUGUUUUACGUCCUGGCACUUAAAGGUGGGGUAUGGGAUUUGCGAAACGCGAGCAGAUUUUGAAAACACACAACUCAAAUGGUCCUACCCCUCCUCCUUCAACGCUGAUUCCGACUCCACCCAUUCCAAGUAAAUGGACGCGCAAUCAUGCACAAGCGAACACAGAUGCGCGAGAGCGAGCCAUUAGCUAGUUAGCUUGCUCCAGUAGCUACCGCAGGAUAACAACAGAAGCUUGCUCUGGGUCACGAGCUUUGAGUUCGUGCUGGAAGGGGUCGCGCGGGGAGCGGGGAAGGGGGAGUGCAGUACGACCGUUUGAUUGACGUAUUUACUGUCCAAUGCCACUCGGUGGGUCUGGAAAUGAUUGGCUGGUGUUUUUCGAGCCCUGCCCGUUCCACAGAUGAUGAUAUUCAUGCCAGUACUUCUAACUCAGUGGCUGUAAGUGGGUUAUGAUAAGGAUUUCAAGUAAUUUUGCAAAACUUGCCAAAAAAGAGAAUUCCAUACCCAACCUUUAAUGUACGCACUUAAUGUAUGUUGUACGUCCUGGCACUUCAUGUACGCACUCAUUGUAUCUUGUACGUCCUGGCACUUAAUGUACGCACUUAUUGUGUGUUUUACGUCCUGCCACUCCAAUGGCACUGGCACUACACAUUUUUGGAUACAGGGAAUGGGUUAAUCUAGCUGUUAAUGCUCGUUGAGAGCACUAACAACCUCUGCAUCCCAGCACCUCAGAGAGGUCUGCUAAAUGCCCUUAAUCUAAAUGGGCUGUUUUUAAUAAGCUCUAUGUAGUUCUAGUCCAUUCAGGGCAGGAUAACUGCUAUUGCAACACAUUGAACUCGUGGC
ensembl:lncRNA